rnacentral:lncRNA from 1 species
GCGAUGAGACCCGCCUCCAGAACAGGGAAUUUUGUGCAGCCACAGAGAUUACACAGGACAGAUUUCAGCUCCAUACAGGGGAACUUUAGGGGCUUUGAGCUGAGGGAAGAACUGUUCAUGGGAGUGUGAGCCCCAUCUCCAUGGAGGUGUGCAAGCAGAGACUGUGCCAGCACUCUGGGACAGGAAAGUAGCAGGAACUGUACUCGGUGGCACCCCUUCCAAAUCUGAGAUUUUGUGAUGGGUUUAUAUAGAGUGGGCUUUGUGGUUACCCUGACCUGAGUUUGAAUCCCAGCCCUACGACUGUUGGCUGUGUGACUUAACUUCUCUGAGCCUCACUUUCUUCACCUGAAAAAAGUGGGUGGUGACCCAUACUCACCUCCUAAGGUUGUUGUAGGACUGAAUGAGAUCACAUAUACCAAGUGUAGGCCUGGCCUACCACCACCACCACUGCCACCAUCAUCACCAUUACCAUCAUCACCAUUAUCAUCACCAUCAUUCCUACCAUCAUCAUCACCAUUACCAUCACCAUCACCAUCAUUCCCAGCAUCACCACCAUCACCACCAUCAUCACCAUCACCACCAUCAUCACCAUUACCACCAUCACCAUCAUCAGCACCAUCAUUACCAUCACCAUCAUCAUUGUCACCAUCAUCAUUUUCUUGAUCAUCGUCAUUUGCCCCAUCUCCACCUCCAUCACCGUUACCACCACAAAAUCUGUGCCAGAAUUCCUAUAGAGCCUUCUGGAAUGGCCCUGUGCAAGUCCAGCAGCAUGAAGGAUAAGCAAGCACCAGCCUCACAACCCCAUUCAGAUACCACCCCAUUCAGAUACCCCAUUCCUACAUGUAGUCCAGUGGUUAUUUCAGCAGGGAAGCGAGUUUUAGACUUAAGUUCCACUGCCAAUUGAGAAACAGAAUUUUGCCACUUUCUAAAUAUAGGUCUCCAGAGUUUAUUUUGCUUCUCCAGAGCUGGGUAGGUCUGGCUUCCUGCUUAGAUACACAACAUCAGAGGACUCCCUCUUGCAAGUCCACACUUUUCCACGUCUCCUUUCCUUUCCCCUUGGACUCACAGAGCUCCUCUCAGAGCUGGGCUCUCUCACCACCUCCCAGGGCCUCCUCCCAGAUGAGGAAGUGCCCAGCCCAGACUAGCGCCCAAAAGGCUCCAGGGAACACUGAAGGAUUGUCCAGUCAGAGCCCCUUGGCCGCCUCACUGCCCAGGAGGAAGUGCUUAUUUUGAGUUGCUGGGCUGGCCAGACUGCGGCCCUCAGACUUUCCAUCCUACCCAGCACACUCCCAGCCAGUUCUGGCAGAGGAAGGUGCCAGGGCAGACUUCAAGGAGGCGGGUGCUCUUCAGCCAGAGCUUCCGGAGAGGCUGCCGGGAAGCAGGUGGAGUGAUCCAAGCCCCAAUCACACCUGCCUCAGGUCAGGGGGCUCCUGGGCCAGUUCCCUUCCCUUGUGGCACUACCUCAGCCUUCCUCUGCAUUCUAGGUGGAGGGGUCCAGUAGCUAGCUCUUCCACCAAGUCACUGUUGCUCAGUGCAUCGUGACCCAAGCCAGUUCUCCUUCUGGAGCACAGUACUAGACCUUGCAUUCCUCCAUCCAAGAAAUGUCCUCCUGGAGCCUUCCUCUGUGAUUUGAUGCCCCCUUGCUCUGACUGGACUCAUCGUACGUAGCCUUCUCGGCACUCUUGUGGUGGUGGGGAUUUUGCAGGUGCCACCCAGUGCCACUAAGAGAGGGGGCAGCCUCCCAUAGGAAGACUUGGGCUUAAGAGCCCACCUCGGCCCUCACCAGCUGUGUGUGCUUAUCAUACUCGGGCGAGAGAUUCUGAGAGACUGAACAAGAUAAUGGAUGCGUAAACUUCUGAAAACUGUAAGAGUGGUGUGGUCUUGGGCAGUGGUUCUCAAAGUGUGGUUCCCCUGGCCGGCAGAACGAACAUCAUCAGGAAAUUUGUUAGAAAUGCAAAUUAGCAGACUCACCUCAGGUCUGAAUGAGACACUCUGGAGGUGGGAACCAGGAGUCUGGUUUUAACAGCCUCCAUGUACGUGAAUCUGAUGCACUGGACUAGCGAACGGAAAACAGGCCCCGCCUUCUAGGGUGCACAGCUGGGGAGGGUAACCUAAAAUGCACAAUAGGUGCUGAAUGUAAUAUUCUGGAAGGUAGAGACCGUGUUCUACUAUGUGCAUCCCCACUGCCUGGUAUAGCACCUGCACAUAGUAGGUGUUCAAUUAAUAGCUCCUAUAUAGACUAGGUGUGUAAACACUGAAAGACAAAAGUAGCUCAGAAGUCUUACAAUGAAUGUAUGUUAUUUUUAUAAUUGAGGAAGCAGACAACCCCAUUUGAGGAAGAGAGAAAGAUAUGGGGUGACAGAAAAAAUAGUAGACAUGGGCCAUUCUUUUGGUGCUGCCCAGAAUGGCUACAGGGAGAGGAUCGGUGGGCACCUGCACCCAGAAAAGAAGCCUAUAUCUCCCACUGCAUCUCUAGGUCUCCCUUGAAUGGGCCAAGAUGUCACAGGUCGGCUGUGAUCAACAUCCACUGUUCAUCCUCUGACUAUUUGAGCACCUACUAUUUGCUAUCCUCGGGGCUAAGGAUAGGGAGGUGAGCAGGGCACACACAGACCCAUGCUCCCAAGCUGGCAGCCCAAGAAGAAGAAACACAGGAACUGCAAGAAGGUAGGACAGUAUUGUGACAGGGGACGUAUGGGGGCCAGGGGACAGAGGAUGGGGGGCAGUGGGCAGGGAAGGGCAUGCCAGAGUCAAUGGGUAGAGUGUCCCAGGCAGAGGUCACAGCCUAUAUGAAAAUCAGAGGCACAGAGGAACUAGAGCAGUCAGGAGGGGAGGGCACCUGUGAGGGGCCAUCAGCCACUGGUCCUGGUAUAAGAUAUGGUGUGAGGCAGUGGUGCAAGGCCCUGCCAUUCAGCAAACACUCUCUAGACGCUGGGGAGACCCCAGAACAGAGACAGAGCACAAAUAAGACCCUUGGCGGGCUUACAUCCCCGUGGCCAAGACAGAAAGAAACUACAAAGCCAAGAGCAGUGCUUCAGGGAGAGGGGUAAGCAGACACCAGGGAGGGAGUCCCUGACAAAGGAGGGUGUGGGGGGCCAAGGGAGGUGAAGGUGGUGUCGUGGCACGUAGGUAGGGUCGGGUACAUGCCAACUCACCCCCCACAUCACCCCACCAUGCAGGGCUCUGUAACUUCAAACAGAUGGUUCCAGAAUGCUGGUUUGCAGUCAAAGAAUGCAAAAAGUGCCAAACUUUCAGGGGAAAAAAGACAAAAAGACUACUAUGCUAUGCCACAGUAAUAAUAUACGUAUUAUACAUGCUAUGCUAUCUGUAUGCACCAUACAUCACUGUGAAUGCUAUACGUACCGCACUAUGCUCUACGUGACACGUAGUAUAGUACUGCGUGUAUAGCAUAGCGGAGCAUAGCAUAGCAUGUACGACACAGCAGAGUUUACUGCUAUGUAUGCAACCUACGGAUUACUCCAUACGUACUGUACUGUGCUAAACCACUGCCCCACCACACUCUGCGCACUGUACUGUACGUACUAUACUGUGGCACACCGCACCAUACAUACUACGCUAUGCUAUACACAAUAUGCUAUACUAUAGAGACGCCCGGGUGGCUCAGCAGUUGAGCGGCUGCCUUCGGCCCAGGGCGUGAUCCUGGAGUCCCGGGAUCGAGUCCCACGUCGGGCUUUCUGCAUGGAGCCUUCUUCUCCCUCUGCCUGUGUCUCUGCCUCUGUGUGUAUGCGUGUCUCUCAUGAAUAAAUAAAUAACAUCUUUAAAAAAUAUAUGCCAUACUAUAUACCACGCCAUUAUACCAUAAACAUAAUACUACGCUACGCUAAUGCUAUACUAUGCGAUACGUACACCAUACAUGCUGCUAACACGCUAC